CAUGACACCUUUCUCUCAAAUUAAAAUGUGACUGGGUUGACCGGUAGAAACGCAGUGGGAGAUGGAAAAGACCGGGAGUCGAAAAGGAAGAGGAGAUGGCCGCCGGUGCCUACGCCCCGGCCAGGCCAGGCCCAGGCCUCCAGCGCUCCCGCUUCCGGCUCCGAGCGGGCGGGGCGAGAGAGCAUGCGCAGUGGGGUGCGCCGCCAGCCGCCGCUCCCAUCCGGACCGUGAGGAAGUCCACCUCGGGUGUUGCACAAGGCAUUGCCAUCUCUUCAAAACACAUAUCUGAAGUGUUUAGGCUUCUCACCUCAAUCCAAAACUGUGCAUUUGGUUCCAGUUUGAUGAGAAGAAACUGAAUUGCCAAUGAAAUGUUACCUUUACCCUAGUGGGGAGAUUGCUGACUGGACUCUGGGUGCUGGAGAAGUUUAAGGUCUGAGGACCCAGGUAGGAGGGAAUAUGCCCGAGACAGUGGUCAUGUUAUAACCUCACCAGGAUCCUGCACAUUCAAUACUAUACAGGUGUACAUGCGCAAAAAUAAUUCAAGAAUACAGACAAUGCAGACUGUUGGAGAGCCAAUCUGAAAUCAAUUAAAAGGAAUGAACAUUUAUUAAUAACAUGAGUGCAAGCAGAUGGAAAGGGAUCUGUACCGAACAAAUCUCCAAAAAUAGAAACAAUCUACUGGAGAAAGAGAAACAUGCCAUGUCCAAAAACCUGUUUCCAGCUUAAAGGUUAUCUUUUUUAUGGAGUGAGGAUUUUCACAUGACCCAUUUCUUCUUUUUUGCAAGACUAAGAUAUAUGCCCAGGAGUGGGAUUGCUAGAUCAUUAUGGUCACUUGUCUGCCUUUCAGGAAGGCAGGCCCACUCCAUCGAUAUCGUGGUGAGACAGAUUCCACAUAUGAGCGCUCUCAUAUGGAGAUUCAAAGAGACAUUACGGUCCUUGACCAACAGAGAGCCAUGCAGUCCACCAAAUAACCAACAGGAAACCAGACAUUACAAAUGCUGUCCUGGAUCCUGGGGCCAAUGGAUACCCUCAUGCGAAAGAAUAAAGUUGGACCAAUGCCUACAGCAUAUAUAAACAUUAUCUCAAGGUGGAUUAAAGACCUAAAUGUAAGAGAAUCCACCAGUAAAGUUUUCUGAGUAGAGGAGGAUCCUGGUCCAAUUCUGUCACUGAAGAAGGGAAAGACAAGUCCCAAGAGGUGCAGUAACUUUCUCAAGACCACAUGCACACUUAGAGGUGUUUAAGUCUAGAGUGAGUCAGGAUAAUUUUGGAUUUUUGGUGCUUAAGUAUUAUUAUAAAAUAAGAAAAAAUAUAGAGACUAGAAGGAGAAAGAAGCAGGAAGUAGGGGGAUCUUAUAAACACAAAAUGUCCAUUUGCCAUGAUGACCUUUGGGCUCUUGGCACAAGCAUGGGUUUUGCAGUGUUGUGAACUAGGAAAUAGGAUGGGAAUAGCACGGGUGGAUGUUAGGCCAGAAUCACUGUAUGAGUACCAUGGUAAUUAGUUAAUUUAAAAAAUUCUAAUAUGAAAUACUCAGUAUUCAUUUAGUGCCCUCUGCAGUUCUCUUCAGAAUCACCUUAAUAUGGGUGUACCCUUCCUCAUCUUCACGUCCUCAAUAAGCCACUUCUUUCUUACAUUUCUCUUACACCACCAGAGAUCUGGCACCCUCAUUUUGUACUCUGGGAGAAAGCCUAUUCUGCAAGAACAUGACGACGCCUCCUUCCCUCCAGUUUUAUACACACACACACACAUGAACAAUUUAUAGCAAAUAUGUGUAUAUUCAUUGAAAACAUUUAGAAAAUACAGAAAUAAAAGCAAAAAUUUUAAAUCACAUUUAGUCUCACUACCUAGAUGCAAAUAUUGGUUAUAUUAGUAUGUUUCUUUUUAUUCCCCGGAGGGAUUUUUUUUGGAUGCACACAGAUACACAUUUAAAAGAAUAAUUAGGACCAACCUAUAUGUUAUAUUAUCACUGCUGCUUUCACUUAACUGUAUGUUAUUACCACUUUUCUAUGUCAUAAUUUUCUAUAAUAUUAUUUUAAUUAUUUAAAAUAUUCCAUUGGCUAAAGUACCACAGUUUAUUUAAAUCAUUCACUAGUAUGGAUAUCUUUGUUGCCUACAAUUUUUUACUAAUACAAAAGAAAAAUGCCACACUGAAUGUCAUUGGAGCUAAAUCUUUGCACACUGUUGACUCAGGAUAAAUUCUUAGAAAUAGACCAAGGUAAUCACAUAAUUAAGCACAAAUAGGUAGUAUUUUUAAUUAAGAGUUUUGAUAAAUGCUGUCAAAUUGUAUUCCAGAAGGGUUGUGGAAUUUUAUAGACCCAUUAGCAAUAUAAAAAAGAGAUGAAAAGUGUGUAUGUGUAUUUGUGCAUAUCUGUUUGUGUUUAUGUAUAAAUAACCUGUGUGUGUUUCUUCUAGUAAAGUGAAAUACUACUUAGCUUAGGUAACUAUACUGGAGUAACUAGCUGUAGUAAUAAAUAAAACCUAAAAUUGUAAUGGCUUAACAUAAUAAAAAUUUACUUUUUGCUCAUGUAAAUGUUCACUGAGGGCUUCCACAUUGUGGAUGGCUUUCCUCCAUGGGGUGAUUUAGAGAUUUGGACUCUUCCAUCUUGUGGCUGGGAAUUCUCUAGUGCCUCACCAUUGUUGUACACACCUGGUGCGGAUACAGGGAAAAGAGAAAGCAUGAUGGAGCUAUAACCUCAGUCUGCUGGCUAGAACUCAGUCACGUGGUCUCCAAGGGAAUAUGGGAAAUAUAGUCGGAACGGCUGCUACCGAAGUGGCCAAAAAUGAUAAACCUAGGUAGAAAAAUAGAGCAGGAUCAUGAAAUACAAAAAAUGCUGACUAUAUUGACAGAAGAGACCAGUUGCAGUCAUUAGCAAUGAUGUUCCCAUGUACACACUGAAGUUGAAAUUUUUCAUUUUAAUUAGAGCAAUUUAAGUUCUCUAAAGGCUUUCCGCUUGCGUAUUUGCAAAUGUAUGACAGGUUUUUUUAUGCCAAUUUUGUACUUAAGAAGUCCUUCCCAUUCAAUAUCAUACCGUCAGAUUUUCAACAUAAUACAUUUAUGUGAUAACAAAAAGAUGUUUAAUUCCUAGAUAAAACAAUUGAUCAUGCACACAGCAUGACUCUUCACUUGGCAACAUUCGGUUCAUAUAUCUGCUAUAGUGCUCAGAACAAUAAUCAGGCAGGUAAAUUUGCAGGUCUGUUGAACAACCAUGAAGGCUGUCCUUAGAUUUCAUAGAUGUAUUUCCUUUUGUCCUUUUCUAGAAGACAACCCAUUGCUUGAUACUGAUAUAUUUGAGGUCAUUUUUUAACAGAGUGAACAGCUUUAUGUUCUUUCCCCGACAGUUAUCUUGCUUUGCUGAUUAUGACCUUUUGUCUCCCCGAGUAGAACUUGCAGUAGACAGAGAAAAAGACAGCUUAGCCUUCCUUCAAACCUGG